AUCCAGAUGACGAGCCGGUGCAAAAUAGGACGAAAUGCACAUCCUGGAU
rnacentral:hammerhead_ribozyme from 1 species